rnacentral:lncRNA from 1 species
ACAUCACACCCCACCGAUGCAAACCACGCGCUACACACACAAGCAAGGAAACACACAACUAACGACUCUACCCUAGAGGGUGGCUUAGGUUCUGCGACGGGUUCUCCAAGAUCUUCACUCUUGCUUCACAUCUGGCUUCACUGCUUCCUUUGCUGCGCUGACGGAUCCAACAGUCUUCUGGAGCUUCGACAGACAAUUGACGGCACCUUCUUCUUCACAAAACUAAUCAUCUAGUACUAGUUGAAAAUCCGAAGAAGGAAGAAUGGAGUAAACCUUUUGCAAAUAGCAUUAGGGGAAGGAGAAAAAGGAACUUUCACAAAUAAUUUUAUUUAUAAAAUAUGUCCUUAGGUUUUAUCCACUUGGCUUAUCCUACAGUCGAGAUGGCUCUGAUACCAUCUUGUCGCGACCGGGAAAAUUGCAUUUUCCCGAACGCUAGUGUAUUAAUCCCCGUCCCAGGAAAAGCCGGGGUACACCAUACAAACAUGAUAUAAAAGACACAUCUUUAUUAUAUCGAUAAUAUUUACAUUAUUACAAAGGCACUUAAGGCCUGACAAUCAAAAAUAAACAGCAGCGGACUAGCGGGCCUACGGCUCCAUCUUCACAGGCGCUCAACUGGGGUAUAAUCCAGGACUCCACCUAAGACAUCUUCUCCAAAGCUUCUCUUACUGAAGGGGGAAAAGAUUGAGCAAGAAUGAGUACAACCACGGUACUCAGCAAGCCACACCGGCAGAUGCAUGAUUAAUGCAAGGGGGUACAAGGGGUAAUAAUAUAGGGGUUAAGUUUUGCAGAAAAGCAGCAUUUAAAAGCCACUUAGUUGCCCAAAGCCAUUUUAUAAAGACGAUCCUAGAGCUACACAGUAUUAUUAAACAAGGCCGUGAACCCUCACGAACCUGCCUUAACCCAAGGCCUACGAUGAUUCAGUCCGAACUGGCAACCCGACCCUGGGUCCCAGCUCGUCCCAAGCCAACCCAGGCCAACCAUUCCACAUUUUAGUUGUUGAGCAAAUUUUAAGAAUUAAAACACUGACUUGGGUACAUUGCUCGGCUUGCCCAUAACCGAGGGCGCGGCUAUUCGAAUAGAUUAUACUCUGAUCAGAGGUGUACAUCUUUACCCACAAGACACAUCUUCCUCACGUGGAACCACGUGCCACAUACCACCACGGUAUACGGACGGAAGACGUGACAUAGUUUCCAACCCAUCCUAGCCAUAGACAAGAGUACCAACCCAAUCCCACCUACGGCCGGAACCUUCGGGACAGGCAGGCAGGACUGAGCCCCUAGCAGCAGGGCACCAACCCUGUGCCAUGACAUCUCGACUACCGGGCCGCAGCUCGUGUAGCCUUCAUUUGUCCUAGAGAAUGUCCAUCGACCCCCGACUUCAUCCAUCUCCAUCCGUGUACUUUUGUUUAUGACCAGAUUGAGCCACAAACUAAGCCUUACCCACUAGACAUGUGGAAGUACGGUAGUGCUUUGCAACAGAGGCCCGAGCUUAAUCCUUAUAGUGGCCGGGGUGCUACUUCCCACGACUGGCAUGCACCCAAACCCCACCGAAAACAGGUUUUAGGGGUUUUGAAAGAGGAAGAGAGGUGUAUGUCCAAUUCCACCAUAAACCAACAAUUCCAUAGUGUCCAAAUGAUAUGAGAAUUCCCAAAGUCUAAAGUUAUAAAACCACCUAAUAUUGCCUAAUUAAUCAGCGAAGCAUCUACCUAAAUUCAUACUAGUGGAACCAUGAAUAGAGUACCCACUAGUUGGGGUUUUGUUUAUCCUAGGGUGAACAAGGUAAUAAUAACAAUAGCAACAAUAAUAAGGUCAUAACAAAGGUAAAUAGGCAUGGCUAAAUAAAACAGUGAUAACGCGGGAAUUUAAAUAAAGCGAUAAUGCAUUAAUUUAAAUUAAAAUAAUUUUAUAAACUGGGAUUCAAUAUGCUCAAGGAUGAUGUGACUUGCCUUGCUCAGAGAGAACGGCCUUCCGAACCUUCGGCGACGACCACGAACCACGCUUCGGGAACCUCCGGAACGACAGAAGCUACGCGAAGCACACAAGCAAAGCUACAAGCCUAUAAAGAAGCAAUAACAAUAUAUAAAAAGAAAGCACAGGGUUCUUUAGGUUAUAACAAACAUUAAGAGACUUGAACGGGUCGAUUCGGAGCUCGUAUGACCAAGAUAUGAUCAUCCGAAGUUUAAUGCUGUUACAUGGAGAUUUGCGGAUUAUUGUAAUUAGGUUUUGCAACUAUAAAACAUGUGGAAGCGCUAGCCUGGAAAAGACAGGAAGGCUGCGCCGUUGACAUGCGGACCCCACAUGUCAACCUAAAGGACCGCGGUAGACCGAGUACACAGAGGCGGUCCCCGGGUCGACGGAAGCAGACCCCGUGUGUCAACCGAGGCGAGUGGCCGACAAACGGACUCCACUAAACACCACACGGCCUGCACACGUGGAAACCACGCGGCUACCGAGCGGGCACACUAACACGGACACUACACGGUCACCACCCGCACGCGUGAACGACUACCGACACCGGUACACGGGUACCAGGGCCGACAACCGCACAACGAGCACGGGCGACACCGAAAGGACGAGGACGGGGCAGCGAGGGAGAGGGAUCCUUACCACCACGCGACGAGGCACGGGAACGACAACGACGAACGGGCGCGGCGGAGACAGACGGGCACAACGGAGACGAACGGCAAGGGGACGGCUUCGGCGGCGAUCCUUGGACGAAGGCGAGACGCGGCCGGCACGAGGCUUGACGACGCGGAGCCGAGGACGAAGACGAGGACGGGGGCUGCAGCGGCACACUUGACGAACGCGGACGACGGACGAGAACGGCUCGACGGAGGGACGAACGCCACGACGACCGGGAACGACGAGAGGACGACGACGACGACGAUGACCGGGGCCGGCGAGGAGACGACGAGGACAGCCGGCAGCGGCUGCACGGGGACGAGGACAGCGUGGAACACGCCGCAGCGAUGUUGAUGACGGAGGCGGCGCCGCGAGACGACGAGCCGGGCGACCGACGGGACGUCGAUCGGCGAGGACGAACGGUGACGAGGAAACGAUGAUGGCAGGCAGCAGCGGCUGAGCGGGGACGGCGUGGAACGCGCUGCUGCGAUGUUGGAGAAGGUGGUGGUGCAGCGGGGCGACGAGCCGACGAGGAGGAAUGGGUGGCCGAAAGGACGCCGGCGACGAAGAGGAUGGAGAGGCCGGCGCGGCGACGGCGUUCCGGCGAAACCGAGGAGCAGCCGGAGGAGAGGACGAUACCGCGACGUCGACGGAGGAGACGGCGACGUCGGUCGGCGUACCGGCGACGUACAGGAGCCGACCGAAGACGGGGAGGUACUGGAUGCCGACGAGGAGGCCACUCCGGCGAGCUUCGGGCGAGGAGGAGGUGAUGCCGGGGAUGAGGGCGGCGUCGCGGAGCCGAGGGAGGUGGUGGCGACGUCGACCGGCGCUCAGGCAGGGAGAUAGAGGCGGCUGGAGGCGGCCGGCGCGGAGGAAAGGGAAGGGCGACGGCGGAAACGUAGCUUCGGGGGUCUCCGCGCGAAACGGAGGGCAGGCCGGCGAAGAGGAGGUGGCGGCGACGCUGGAGGAGGCGACGGCACGGCCGGCCGGUGCGCGGGCGAGGCGGCACAGGCGGCUGGAGGCGGUCGGCGGCGUGGGAGAGAGAGGAGGGCGGCGGGGAGAUGGCUAGGGACCACGGGGAGGCUCGGGAGGGGGCUAAAACGAGAGAACGGGGGAUGAGGAUCCCAUUUUAUAUGAGAGAAGAGGGAGCCGGCCACGGGGGAGGUCGGAACGGCGGCAGGAAUGGCGGCCGGCGGCCAUGGGAGGCAGCCGAGGAAGACGCGGGCGUUCCCGGCGAUUGGGGGCGGCAUUCAAGGGGGAAUUAAGGGGAAAGAGAGAGGAGGGAAAGGGGAUUAAUUCCCCCUAAUCAAUUUUGGAAUCCAUCGCUUAAAUCGCGCGGAUUCGAGGGAGGAACGAAGCUAGGGUUCACGGGAGAGAAGAGAGAGAGAGGAUGCCGGGCGGGAGGAAGGAGACGACCGGGCGGGUGGGACCCACCGGUCAGGCGGCGGCGCCAGUGCGCGCACGCGCGCGGCACGGGCGGGAGGCGCGGCUCGGCUUGGGCCGGGCGAAGCCGAGGCGGCCCAGGAGGAGAGGAGGGAGAGGAGGCCCGGGAGAGAGAGGAGAGGGGAGGGGAGGGAGCUGGGCCGGGAGGGGAGGAGGGGCCCAAGAGGAGGAGGGAGAGAAGGAGAGGGAGAGAAAGAGAGGGAGGUUGGCCGAGCCGGCCCAAGAGGGGAAGGGGGGGGGGAGAAAAAGACUUUUUAGGGUUUUUUUCUUUUUAUAAAACCUUUUUAACUUUGUUUAUUUCUUCUUAAUUUUUAUUUGUGCUCUGAAAAUUCCACUAAAAUUUGAGGGCUCCUUUUUGACCAAGGAGAAUUUAACAAAAAUUCUCCGGGCCACAUUUGAAUUUUUCUUGUACGUAUUUUAAUGUUUGCCAAUUUCUUUUCGAAUUUUAAUUAAUUCUAUUAUUCCUUUUAGAAAAUGAUUUUUAUUUCGGGAUGAAUUUAUCAGGACGUGACAAAUCCACCCCCCUUACAAGAAUCUCGUCCCCGAGAUUCGAGGAGGCUAGCAUGAAGAUAGGUUGGGCGGUCUUCUCUUCUUGUCUGACUUCUUCCAUCGCGUCUUUUAUAACAAACUUGCCUAGCAAAACUUCUCCACUCUGGACUGCUUGGCUCGAUCUCCUGUUGCAGAUGGAAUCUUCUUUCCACCUGACUUGAACCAGGGUGCACCUUUUAGCUGACUUCGACUGGGUUGUGGCACUUGAAGAUGGGACUUCAGUUCCAGAACUUCUCAUAAUUCAUAUCUUUGGAGUCAACCUCAUACAAGUUACCACUUCAUGUCAUGCGUCAACAUUAGCUGGUCAUUACUAGGAUACCAUGUUUGUCAUCAUAAGAAUAUCAUGCUUGUCAUUUACUUCUAUCUUGCCACAAACUGCCUCAUAUUAGUUUUCCUGGUCUCCGGGUGCUAGCUACUUCUGCUAUUCGAUGCGAGGGUCGAUAACUUUGCCUUUGAAUUAUGUUUCUCAACAGAACCAACUUAUCCCACUUGACAUGCUUUGACGUCUUCCUAAAUGACUUUACUGCUGAACUUGUUAUUGUCUGAUCGUUUUCCUGCCAAAUCUGAAGCUUUGUUGUUAGAUGCGAUUUUAUUCUGACCUCUAUAGACUAUCUUCGAACAUUUCACUUGGUUCAUAACUGGGAAUAGUUCCCACGAACAGGCAACUCGGAUUCACUUUCUUUACAUUCAGUUUACUUCCCACUAUUCCCUUCAUGUUGUCAUUAUUUAGCAUUCAAAGUAUUCCUUUACACAUUCAACCCUGACGUCCGAAAAAGACACAUCUGAAACUCUUGUUCAAACAAAUGUCUCUUUGGUUAAUCGCUUGAUUUUCAUUUCCACCAUCAGGUUGGUUAUUAACUCGAGGUUAGAACAUAGUUCCUCUGGAAUGAGACCCUAGGUCUCCUUUAUCAGUAAGCAAUUAUACACAUAAUCACCUAUCCGCAUCUUCCAAAAGAAUCCUCAUAGAACUUGUCUGUAUUACACAUUUCUCCCUCAUUACAUGAAUACUAAGCUUUGCCUAAAAGGAAAGGUGCUUAGCAUCGGUACAUUGCAUCCUCAACAUGAAUCUUCCAUAAACAUAACAAACUCAUUGUUUAUAAUCAUGAAUAUAUUUAUUUAUUACAUGAUUGCUGCAAACUUCCGAUUACAGUGAUAAGUAGCGAACUGAAAAUCACAAACAUGGCUACUUAUUCUGAUUCUGGAGAGAUAUAGCUGGCAUUGUUCUGGUGACUGCAUCAUCCUUGAUUGGUUCUGUGAUGAUGUGAUAGGACUGCAUAUUGCUAUCAUUCACAGGGGAAGCUUCCUUCUGAUUGCUGGUUGAAGCGGAUAACGGUCUUCUGCUUGGUAUCGCCCUCCUGAGGUUGAUUGCCCUUUGCUCGGCCGGGAGUAGGUCGGGGAGAGACACAACUUCUUCUAUCGAUGACAAUUCUUUGCUGAGGCUGUCGGUGCAGAGAAUGGUUGGUGCUGAAGGUAUUAUUGCUAUGAUUUAUUGCAGAGUCAGGUGCAGCGGGAGGAGCAUUGGUGCUGUGGAUGAUAUCGUCGAUGUUGCUGUUGGAGCUGACUAGCUGAUGAGACAAUCGUAGGGUUGUUCGUUGGAUUUCUGCGGUCUUGGUCAACAACACACUGAGUUGGCAAUCCCUGGGCACAUGGUUUGUACCUUCGCACAGAAAACAUGUGACCUUGCGGGUGGGACACUCCCCUGGUGGAUGGUCUUCUUCACAAUGAGUGCAGAGUGUGAGACACAUGCUAGCAACGUGUCCAAUUUCCCCGCAACGGGUGCAUGCCUUUGAUUCCAUCUCUUCCUCGCCGAGAUGUCGGGGAGACUCAUCUUCAUCAUCCGAGGAGACUUGAUCUGACCCUUCACUAUCAGAUACUCUGCCACCAUGGCUUAGGAGGUGCUGGGUCAACUGUCGUGCACCUCGGAAAGUAUUUCCUCUUUGACGUCUAGGAAUAGUUAUCCCUGCUGGAGGCCAUUCGGUGCUGGUAAUAGUCAUCUUACGUACUUCUUCUUCAGUUCGCAUCGGUGCUUUUCUCUUCUGAUUCUUACUCUUCUUGCCUUUGGCUUGCUUAGUAUGUGACCCCACGUGGUACGAGAGGCUAGGAGGAAAGCAUUUCCCGGGAUUCAAUGGAUUCUCUCCGUUGAGCUCUCUACUUUGCACACUAGGCUGCAAGCUUGACUUGGUGUGAGGAGGCUGGUUUAGCGAUGUCUGCCCUGCUAAACCAAGGGAAGGGGCUUCUUUGACAUAUACCCAUGGACAAUUCAGGGCAUAGUGUCCUUGCUCUCUGCAAUCGUGACAAAAGGGGACAUCCUCUUCUGGCAUUGGAAGCUCAUUGACCUGGGUGGCAAAUGCUCGAUCAAACACAUACUGAUUUUGGUCUUGACUUCCAACUAAUGGUAGCUGUGAACUAAGCAGCAUGCUUGGAAUGGACCAAGGGUGUGCCCUGGUUAACUCUCUUGAGGCCAGUGGUAGAUUGAGUUGAAAACUUGAGUUACUUGAGGCAUACCCGCUGACAUUCUUUCCUUUUUCUCUGUUAAACAUCUGUUACCGGGAUUCAGGUGAGAGAGGAAACAAGCCAGGAAAGAAUAGACCAGAACUAGAGAUAGGACCUUAAAGGAACUAACUCUUCUUGUUGAUGUGCUGUUUGUUUCACUUAUUCUGCAAGUUGAUUAAGCAAACCACCUAGCAUGGUUACAUCACACCCCACCGAUGCAAACCACGCGCUACACACACAAGCAAGGAAACACACAACUAACGACUCUACCCUAGAGGGUGGCUUAGGUUCUGCGACGGGUUCUCCAAGAUCUUCACUCUUGCUUCACAUCUGGCUUCACUGCUUCCUUUGCUGCGCUGACGGAUCCAACAGUCUUCUGGAGCUUCGACAGACAAUUGACGGCACCUUCUUCUUCACAGAACUAAUCAUCUAGUACUAGUUGAAAAUCCGA